CCUACGGGAGGCAGCAGUGGGGGAUAUUGGACAAUGGGGGAAACCCUGAUCCAGCGACGCCGCGUGAGUGAAGAAGUAUUUCUGUAUGUAAAGCUCUAUCAGCAGGGAAGAAAGAAAUGACGGUACCUGAGUAAGAAGCCCCGGCUAACUACGUGCCAGCAGCCGCGGGAAUACGUAGGGGGCAAGCGUUAACCGGAAUUACUGGGUGUAAAGGGAGCGUAGACGGUAAUGCAAGUCUGGAGUGAAAGGCGGGGGGCCAACCCCCGGACUGCUCUGGAAACUGUGUAACUGGAGUGCAGGAGAGGCAGGCGGAAUGCGUAGUGUAGCGGUGAAAUGCGUAGAUAUUAGGAGGAACACCAGUGGCGAAGGCGGCCUGCUGGACUGUAACUGACGUUGAGGCUCGAAAGCGUGGGGAGCAAACAGGAUUAGAUACCCUUGUAGUC
rnacentral:rRNA from 1 species